rnacentral:misc_RNA from 1 species
GGAAGUAAAAGUCGUAACAAGGUUUCCGUAGGUGAACCUGCGGAAGGAUCAUUAACCUUUCAAAUCAGGGUGCGUCGCGGCCCCCGAGGAGCGGAAACAAUCCUUGGGAGGUUUGCGGAGUCUUCGGACCCCUUAACGCACGCACGACUGCCAUCCUUACUUUACGAGCACCUUCUGUUCUCCCUCGGCGGGGCAACCUGCCGUUGGAACCGAAUAAACUCUUUUUGCAUCUAGCAUUACCUGUUCCGAAACAAACAAUCGUUACAACUUUCAACAAUGGAUCUCUUGGCUCUGGCAUCGAUGAAGAACGCAGCGAAAUGCGAUAAGUAGUGUGAAUUGCAGAAUUCAGUGAAUCAUCGAAUCUUUGAACGCACAUUGCGCCCCUCGGUAUUCCGUGGGGCAUGCCUGUUCGAGCGUCAUCUACACCCUCAAGCUCUGCUUGGUGUUGGGCGUCUGUCCCGCCUCCGCGCGUGGACUCGCCCCAAAUUCAUUGGCAGCGGUCCUUGCCUCCUCUCGCGCAGCACAUUGCGCUUCUCGAGGGGCUACGGCUCGCGUCCAACAAGCACAUUUACCGUCUUUGACCUCGGAUCAGGUAGGGAUACCCGCUGAACUUAAGCAUAUCAAUAAGCGGAGGAA